GUACACUCCUGCGGGAGGCAGCAGUGGGGAAUUUUGGACAAUGGGCGAAAGCCUGAUCCAGCCAUGCCGCGUGCAGGAUGAAGGCCUUCGGGUUGUAAACUGCUUUUGUACGGAACGAAACGGCCUUUUCUAAUAAAGAGGGCUAAUGACGGUACCGUAAGAAUAAGCACCGGCUAACUACGUGCCAGCAGCCGCGGUAAUACGUAGGGUGCAAGCGUUAAUCGGAAUUACUGGGCGUAAAGCGUGCGCAGGCGGUUAUGUAAGACAGUUGUGAAAUCCCCGGGCUCAACCUGGGAACUGCAUCUGUGACUGCAUAGCUAGAGUACGGUAGAGGGGGAUGGAAUUCCGCGUGUAGCAGUGAAAUGCGUAGAUAUGCGGAGGAACACCGAUGGCGAAGGCAAUCCCCUGGACCUGUACUGACGCUCAUGCACGAAAGCGUGGGGAGCAAACAGGAUUAGAUACCCCGGUAGUCCCAUG
rnacentral:rRNA from 1 species